CCUACGGGUGGCAGCAGUCGAGAAUCAUUCACAAUGGGGGAAACCCUGAUGGUGCGACGCCGCGUGGGGGAAUGAAGGUCUUCGGAUUGUAAACCCCUGUCAUGUGGGAGCAAAUUAAAAAGAUAGUACCACAAGAGGAAGAGACGGCUAACUCUGUGCCAGCAGCCGCGGUAAUACCGAGGUCUCAAGCGUUGUUCGGAAUCACUGGGCGUAAAGCGUGCGUAGGCUGUUUCGUAAGUCGUGUGUGAAAGGCGCGGGCUCAACCCGCGGACGGCACAUGAUACUGCGAGACUAGAGUAAGGGAGGGGGAACCGGAAUUCUCGGUGUAGCAGUGAAAUGCGUAGAUAUCGAGAGGAACCCUCGUGGCGAAGGCGGGUUCCUGGACAUUAACUGACGCUGAGGCACGAAGGCCAGGGGAGCGAAAGGGAUUAGAUACCCCAGUAGUC
rnacentral:rRNA from 1 species